CUACGUGCUCUUGUUUUCUCUUAACCCAUAAGAACCCGGACCCAUUUCUCCUUCAAGGAAAAUUAUGGGGGAUAUAAUACAGACUAAAUAGACCACAUAGAACACAUUUUUGAAUUUUUUUUCAAAAUACCACCUCCUAGUGUCAAAGACCUGUAAAGUUACAUAUACGUCACAUUGGGCGUUUAUGGUAAAUUUAUUCCUCAUUUGAACAUAAAUCAGCCUGACAGUAUUUUUGUGUUUGGUAACAAAAACUUGUCUUUUUAUUUGCAUUUCCACAAAAUUAUAACUUUACUUCUUAGGUUUAACAACAAAAUCUUUUUUACAGAUUUGUUUUACAACACAAA